CGUACCUGUCACGUAGCCCCUGCUAUGGGGACUGUUUCUGGGGAGGGAAACAACUCUGCCAGAGCUCCACUCAAAGGGUUACACGCAAUCUUUGCGGUAGUGAAUCAAACCACACGGUGUAGACCAAUCCUAGCCCUCCCUCCGACUGAUGUAAUCAUUUCCCACACACUAUCAGACUUCCAAAUUAUUCCCGCCCCCCCCACCCCCCCCAAAAAAAAAGAAAUUACAAAGGAAAUUUGUUUUUAUGACCACCCACGGGCGUCUGAGACCCCUCCGGCAGCGCCGAAGUUGGCGGGCGGGGGGAGCCGCAGCCCGGGCGGCGGAGGCACGCGUGGUGCCCGGCGCCGAGCCCGCCCGCGGCCCGGCCCGCCCGCGCUGAUGUCAUCCGCUGCAACUUAAGCACUUGAACUUCUCCGCCGCCGCUCCCCCCCCGCCGCCGGCUCCGCUCGGGCCCGACGGGCGCGGGACGCGCUGCUCCGCGGCCGGGCGCGGCGGGCCGGGGCGAGGGGGCGGCGGCACCGCACGGCCGGAGCCCGCCGGCCGCCGCCUCCCUCCCCCCGCUCCCCCGGCUACGUACUAACCGAAGCCCGGCGAGGGAGGAGUUAAAGCCUCAUCUAGCCCAAGUGACUCAAAGCCGCGCGUUCAGGAAACGGCUCCAUCUGACAGCGGGGAUGAGCCAGCUCUUUCAGAAGUCGGCUCCGGGGGAGAGCAGGGGGAAUCCCGGUUGCUGUAGCCCCGGGGAAGAUUAGGAAGGAGCGACACAGCCAAAGAGGGGUGGUGAAAGAACUCCUUCCUACUUUCGGCGCGCUCUUGGUGCACCGAACUCCGCUUUCUGUAUUGAAGCUAAACUCUCUGGGAUGGGCUUCCUGCCUCGGGAACCAUCCCGGUGACAUCACCCGCUCACGCAGGAGCACCGGGCGGCGCAGCCCUGCGCCCUGCCCCAGCCCCCGCAGGGCAGCCUGCGCCAGCCACGCCAGCGCAACCCGCACUUCUACAACACCUGCGGCACAUGAAACCUUUUCCUUCCCUGCGGUUUUUCUGGGAACAAGGCAGCGAUGUAGCACAGGCUGCGCCUGACCCUUGCCUCUGCCAAGUCGCAGAAGAGGGGGAAAGCCGUUCUGCUGCGGGUGCCUCUCAAGCCCUUGCAGGUAGGACAGAGCUGUAAGACAAUCACCAUGCUUUUCCCUGCCCCUAGGCACAUAAAGAAUUGAUGGAGCAUGGCCACUGGAAGAACGCUGCAGCUUCUUCUACACUCAUGCAUGCAAUGCUCCCUCGCUAUAUAGCGAAGGGACCGCAGGUAUGUGUCCCACCCCCCGCUCCUUGCACAGAGUACGAGCCGAUGCCAGCCACCCCAAACUACAACGGCACCUCAAGGCAGGUGCAGAACACAGGACGGCUGCGGCUCUGCGUGCCGCUCUGCGGGAAGAUGGCACACCGCGUUCCCUGCUCCCCUGGCCAGGCCCUGUGGGCAGAACCCCGCUACUCCCACAGCACAGGAGCCACCUUAGGCACAUAAGCUCAUCUGCAGGGAUGGUUUUAUCGAUGCUUUUGACAGCCCGGGGCCUGGAGUGCAGUGGGUGGGCAGCGUGAAGGCAGAAACAAGUUAACUUCACUGACUAUUAAUAGUGCUGUGUUUGAUAUCAAGGACAGCGCAAGGCCUCGUGUCGCCACUGACAUCAUGGAUAUAAAAGACUGCAUCAGGAGGGGAUGUCAUGGCCUGAGCUGAACCAUGCCAGAGAGGGUAGGAGAGGCAGAAGUGAGAUGAAAACCCGUGCCUCUGCGGAGGCAGGAGUGCGAUGGUCCCCAGAGGCUUACAUGAAAGGUAAGGGGAUUUUAUGCCCCCACACAACACUGUAGAGCACGAUGUACAACCGCAAAUACGAAACCAGCUCGAUGACAAAGAUUCAGCUCAAACUUUCUGACAGUUCCUGGGACAAAAGAGGCAGAUAAUACUGUAUCACAGAGGGAACUAAACUUAAAGCCAAUUGGUCAAAUCCAAUCCUUUCACAUUUCAUUUUUUUUUUCCCCAAAUCAUCAUCUCCUACUUCACGAUAUUAAAGGCUCCCUAUUCAAACUUCUCCCACCAAAAACACUGUUUCAUUUGCAAAAUUAAUUUGGGGCUUAUUAUCUACAAAGGAAAAUGAAGCAGAGUUCAUUCUGAAUAGAAUACUCCAAUAAUAAAAAGACUUAGCCUGAAGAGAGGUUCAGAAAGUUAGACACUUUUGCCCUGCAUCGCUGGAGAAAUGCAGUGAAAUGCAACAGCAGACUGCCUGCAACAGUGAUUUACAAAAGGCCCUAAUUACGUCAGCAGCACAAGGCACCUUCUAUUCAAAAUUAAGGUUAAGAAUGCUAAGCCAACCAGAGCACUAUAUUGGCUGAACAUUCAGUGCUUUACAGUGCAAAGGAGCAGAUAACAGACUGCACCAUUGUUCUGGGAAGGAUUCUUCCCCCAAGCUUUCUUUUUGGUGUUUUUUUUUCUCUUAGUUUUUUUUUUCUUUUUUGAAAGGCAGAAAGACUUAAAAAUUAAAAAUUUAAAAGCACAUUAAUAUUCAUCAGUUCAGUGGUUUCAUAUAAUGGGUCGCGUAUCUUGAGUACCCUCAUGGCUGUUUCAUCUUCCAGCCUCAGUUCCUCAACUUCACUGCAGUAUUUUGUGUGCAUCAAGUAAGGCAAACAUUAUUAGGAAUGAGGACAAAAAGAACCCUAGUUGUGUCAUGUUCACAUUACUUCUCCACUUUUCUAUUUGUGCUAUUUUUUUCCUUUUUCUGCAAAAACUCCUCUAUGACUAUACAAAAUUACCAUUCAAAUUCAUGCUUUUAAAUGAUGUUAUGCUGAAAAUCUUCAGCAUCCAAUGGAUCCAGAUUUGUACUCUACAGCCUGAAAUUAAUCACAGUGUAAUUUGUAUCACUGCAAACCAACCUUUGUUUUCCUGGAUUAUGACUUCAAACUAAGUAGAAGGAGAGAGUACUAGUUAUCAGAAGGCCCUCUGACUGAAAUCUAAUACAUAAAAAGUUCCAGUACACUAGUUCUUCAAGAGUUGCCCUUUAUAGGAGAUGAAGAUCAGAGACAUCACAGAAAGCCAUUAAAAUACACUGAAGAGUCAUUACCAAGAGCUGCACAAACUGAAAAUCAGUCCAGCAAGUUUUGACUUUCAUCCCCUGAUUUCACUCAAGAUUGUUCAAGACAUGAGAACUGUACCAUCAGUGAGGUACACAGAAAGAAAACUCAACUGAAACACAUGUACCUUGUGCAAGCAGGAGCAAUUUAUUGCAAACAGCGCCUACGUAGCAGGCAGGUACUUGCUGUUUUCUAAAACCCUGUUUUGACGAGAUCGUUCUUCCAAAAGCUUUCUAUACACAAAGCUCAUGGGCUCACAAGAGCAGAGUCAGAGUCACUAGAGGAAUGGGGAAGCUUUCAGUUAGGAUCAGUCCAACUCAAAGCUGCUGAAGACUCAAGCUCUGCAUGCAGGUUACCCUUGAACUGCCAUUUGCCUAGGUGAAGAGGUAACAAAAAAGGUUUUGCUUCCUAAACUAGCAAACGUUUGAUAAAGAAAAGCCUCUAAGCAUGCUCUCUGCACACCUGACAGGCAAGCAACCUGGUCAACCACAUCUACACACUGGAACACCAGCCAGUCCCCAAUUACUUGCCCAGCUCCAUUAACACAGCUUUGUAAGACAUGGGAAUUUCAAGUGCUGCAAUAAAAUAAAUAUGUAGGUUAACCCUA